GGAGUCUAACAUGUGCGCGAGUCAUUGGGUUUGAAAACCUAAAGGCGAAAUCAAAGUGAAAGGCGGUUCGCUUGCCCGAGGGAGGAUGGGCACGUCAGUCGUGGCGGUGCCCCGCACUCCCGGGGCGUUUCUAACUCAUUGCGAGUCGAGGCGCACCCAGAGCGUACACGUUAGGACCCGAAAGAUGGUGAACUAUGCCCGGCCAGGACGAAGCCAGGGGAAACCCUGGUGGAGGUCCGUAGCGAUUCUGACGUGCAAAUCGAUCGUCGGAGCUGGGUAUAGGGGCGAAAGACUAAUCGAACCAUCUAGUAGCUGGUUCCUUCCGAAGUUUCCCUCAGGAUAGCUGGUGCCCGGGUGGGACGAGUCUCAUCCUGUAAAGCGAAUGAUUAGAGGCAUUGGGGGUCGAAACGACCUCAACCUAUUCUCAAACUUUAAAUAGAUGAGAACUCCGGCUUGCUUGAAAGUGAAGCCGGAGAUUCGGAUCAGGGUGCCCAGUGGGCCAAUUUUG
rnacentral:rRNA from 1 species